rnacentral:rRNA from 1 species
UACGUAGGGUGCAAGCGUUAUCCGGAAUUAUUGGGCGUAAAGAGCUCGUAGGCGGUUUGUCGCGUCUGCUGUGAAAACCGGAGGCUCAACCUCCGGCCUGCAGUGGGUACGGGCAGACUAGAGUUCGGUAGGGGAGACUGGAAUUCCUGGUGUAGCGGUGAAAUGCGCAGAUAUCAGGAGGAACACCGGUGGCGAAGGCGGGUCUCUGGGCCGAUACUGACGCUGAGGAGCGAAAGCGUGGGGAGCGAACAGG